rnacentral:lncRNA from 1 species
AAGUUUCAUGAGUUCGCUCCUUUGCCAAGAUCUUGGCGAACAGUCCCUUACCGUGUGAUUGAGGCUCAGAAAUUAUUUUUCUUUUGGUGAUGAUCGUGCUGGGCUGGAUGCUUUUUGUUGGCCUUGCGACCUACAUGGGCACAUUUCCAGAGGCGAUGCCUCCAACUCUAAAGUGGAAAGAGAGGUUGCCUGGUCAGGAGAACAAGGCACGAAGAAGGAUCCAAGCUUUGGAGGAGGAGCUGCUGCUAUGAGAACGAUGUGGAAGGGAUAUAAAUAUCCCCCAGGAGGGACCCCUCUGGAAGUAAACAAAGAUGACCCUGGUGAACCAAUGCAGCUGUGAAGAUCACCCAACUGCACAGUUCCUGUUGUAGGUUUCGCAUAAAGUAAUCGCACAUUAUUUUGUC